AGAGUUUGAUCCUGGCUCAGAUUGAACGCUGGCGGCAGGCCUAACACAUGCAAGUCGAGCGGUAGAGAGAAGCUUGCUUCUCUUGAGAGCGGCGGACGGGUGAGUAAAGCCUAGGAAUCUGCCUGGUAGUGGGGGAUAACGUUCGGAAACGGACGCUAAUACCGCAUACGUCCUACGGGAGAAAGCAGGGGACCUUCGGGCCUUGCGCUAUCAGAUGAGCCUAGGUCGGAUUAGCUAGUUGGUGAGGUAAUGGCUCACCAAGGCGACGAUCCGUAACUGGUCUGAGAGGAUGAUCAGUCACACUGGAACUGAGACACGGUCCAGACUCCUACGGGAGGCAGCAGUGGGGAAUAUUGGACAAUGGACGAAAGCCUGAUCCAGCCAUGCCGCGUGUGUGAAGAAGGUCUUCGGAUUGUAAAGCACUUUAAGUUGGGAGGAAGGGCAGUUACCUAAUACGUGAUUGUUUUGACGUUACCGACAGAAUAAGCACCGGCUAACUCUGUGCCAGCAGCCGCGGUAAUACAGAGGGUGCAAGCGUUAAUCGGAAUUACUGGGCGUAAAGCGCGCGUAGGUGGUUUGUUAAGUUGGAUGUGAAAUCCCCGGGCUCAACCUGGGAACUGCAUUCAAAACUGACUGACUAGAGUGUGGUAGAGGGUGGUGGAUUUUCCUGUGUAGCGGUGAAAUGCGUAGAUAUAGGAAGGAACACCAGUGGCGAAGGCGACCACCUGGACCAACACUGACACUGAGGUGCGAAAGCGUGGGGAGCAAACAGGAUUAGAUACCCUGGUAGUCCACGCCGUAAACGAUGUCAACUAGCGGUUGGGAGCCUUGAGCUCUUAGUGGCGCAGCUAACGCAUUAAGUUGACCGCCUGGGGAGUACGGCCGCAAGGUUAAAACUCAAAUGAAUUGACGGGGGCCCGCACAAUCGGUGGAGCAUGUGGUUUAAUUCGAAGCAACGCG
rnacentral:rRNA from 1 species